rnacentral:rRNA from 1 species
GUCUACGGUCAUGCUACCCUGAACAAGCCCGAUCCCGUCUGAUCUCGGAAGCUAAGCAGGGUCAGGCUUGGUUAGUACUUGAAUGGGAGACCACCUAGGAAGACCAGGUGCUGUAGGCA